UCUAAUCCUCAGGACAGCAGGGCUGGGCGUCUUGAAGCGACUUCCUGCAGUUCUGAUUGGCUCAACACCAAUUGACUCUGUCCUGCUCACACCCUACAGAGACUCACACCCACUGUCUUGCCAGGCUGUCUGGUCACUACUCCAGAGGCAGGAGGGAGAAAAAAGAACGUGACGCCAGGAACAGAGACUGUUCUAAUUUUAUUACAGCACAUGGCAAUGCUUCUCACAGAUCUCCCUCGCUGACUAGAGAACAAAGACGCAGACUCUGAAACCCAUGUGGAGGAAGGCAGGACCAGCCGGAUCCUUGGGGACACAUCCAUGACUCCAGGAGGCUGACAGAAGAACAGAAAUGUCACAGAGAAGCAAAGUGGAAGCCUGGAGUGCCCAGCACCGCUCAGGCCAGGCAUGGUUAUUGCCAUGAGUGCCAACCGAUAAUGGACUGAGAACACUAUUGGCUACAAAAGGAGCUCUCAAGAGUAACUUAAGAAGAAAAAGUCUGUGUUAAUCAAAAAUAGUAUUCAAAUGUUUCUAAAUUUUCUUUA